rnacentral:rRNA from 1 species
AUACGUAGGGGGCGAGCGUUGUCCGGAAUGAUUGGGCGUAAAGGGCGCGUAGGCGGCCCGGUAAGUCUGGAGUGAAAGUCCUGUUUUUAAGAUGGGAAUUGCUUUGGAUACUGUCGGGCUUGAGUGCAGGAGAGGUAAGUGGAAUUCCCAGUGUAGCGGUGAAAUGCGUAGAGAUUGGGAGGAACACCAGUGGCGAAGGCGACUUACUGGAAUGUAACUGACGCUGAGGCGCGAAAGUGUGGGGAGCAAACAGGAUUAGAUACCCGGGUAGUCCACACUGUAAACGAUGAAUGCUAGGUGUAGGGGGUAUCGACCCCUUCUGUGCCGCAGUCAACACAAUAAGCAUUCCGCCUGGGGAGUACGGCCGCAAGGUUGAAACUCAAAUGAAUUGACGGGG